rnacentral:misc_RNA from 1 species
UCUCCGUUGGUGAACCAGCGGAGGGAUCAUUACAGAGCAUAGACGCCAACGUCGGGGUACCCCCCGGCGGUCUUGUCCUGCACACCUGUUGUAUUACCGCCUGCCGGGCCGUGUUGCCUCGGCGGGGUUGCGGACGCCGGCCAACGUCGGCCAACGCGCCCCGCCGCAGGUACCGCCCACCAAACUCUUGUAUAUCUAUGGAACCUCUGAGAAAGCUUAUAAAUAAGUCAAAACUUUCAACAACGGAUCUCUUGGUUAUGGCAUCGAUGAAGAACGCAGC